CGUCCCUGCUGAGAUGAUCUCCACACAGCUGCGAGUUUUCCUGAGACAUUGUCUCAAAGCAGCUUUACGGAAAUAUCAACGAGGUAUACAGAUAUUAAAGGUGCGAAUUUAUCCCAACUGAGCAAGCUACUGAGUGGCGACGGUGGCAAGGAAAAACUCCCUAAGAUGUUUUAAGAGGAAGAAACCUUGAGAGGAACCGGACUCAGAAGACAACCCAUCCUCAUCUUGUCAUCUGAUUGUGAGACAACUUCACCCCAAAGACUCUUUUCAGAGUCACAGCACUGAGCAUCUUCGGUUUUUCUCAUGUGGGAUUAUAAACCACUGCAUAGCAUGACAGUCAGCGGUUUAACAGUAUGGAGGCCAGCCAAGACCAACUGGGAUGUUUUGUUCAUGAUUCUUGUUGCCAAUAUUUUCAUGAUCUCUGCUGUGAUUUGUUGUUAUGAUUUAAGUUAUCUUUUUUUUUUCUUUAAAUGUUGUAUCACAAUAAAAAAAUAAAUAAAUAAAAUGUUAUUGAUAGUGACAGUGAAUUUAUUUAUAUAUAUAUA